CGGGCCGGUGGCCAGGUCGAACGGCGUCUGCGCCUCGUCCUGGGCCAGCCAGCGGGCCUUCGCUUCGCGUUCGGCUUGCGGCAGGUCCGAC
rnacentral:tRNA from 1 species